GAUGAACGCUGGCGGCGUGCCUAAUACAUGCAAGUCGAGCGAAUGGAUUAAGAGCUUGCCCUUAUGAAGUUAGCGGCGGACGGGCGAGUAACACGUGGGUAACCUGCCCAUAAGACUGGGAUAACUCCGGGAAACCGGGGCUAAUACCGGAUAACAUUUUGAACCGCAUGGUUCGAAAUUGAAAGGCGGCUUCGGCUGUCACUUAUGGAUGGACCCGCGUCGCAUUAGCUAGUUGGUGAGGUAACGGCUCACCAAGGCAACGAUGCGUAGCCGACCUGAGAGGGUGAUCGGCCACACUGGGACUGCGACACGGCCCAGACUCCUACGGGAGGCAGCGGUAGGGAAUCUUCCGCAAUGGACGAAAGUCUGACGGAGCAACGCCGCGUGAGUGAUGAAGGCUUUCGGGUCGUAAAACUCUGUUGUUAGGGAAGAACAAGUGCUAGUUGAAUAAGCUGGCACCUUGACGGUACCUAACUAGAAAGCCACGGCUAACUACGUGCCAGCCGCCGCAGUAA
rnacentral:rRNA from 1 species